rnacentral:lncRNA from 1 species
CAUCUUUCGGUCUAAUGCACCGUUUUAAGCUUGAGGCGUAUCCAUCGAAAAACCUCACCGAUCUCAAAUAUGCGAAAAAUUGAUUUCUCUCGCUUCGGUUUAGUACAUAACAUGCCAAUGGCUUGACAAGUCUAGCUCCCGUCGAAUCAAUGUAAUUUCUUUCUAAUCUGCAUAUCCUCCAAGUCAAGACAAGUCUUCACAAUAUCCUCUGUUCUUCCUUCGAUAUUGAAGAUGGUGUAGAAAUGUUGUCAAAUAUAUUCUUUUCAAUAUGCAUGAUGUCAAAAUUGUGUCGAAAGAGAAGCGUUUUUCAAUAUCAAAGAUCGAACAACUUGCUCAUUUUUCUCUAAUUUUCGAUAGUAGUUCAUAUGCCUGAUUGGUAAAUUAUACGGAAACAUCAUAAUGGGCCACAUACUGUAUGUAGUGCUAAGAUUACUAUACGGAUUAAACCCAUCUGUUGCCAACCCUAGCAUGACAUUUUGUAAAUCAGCCGC